rnacentral:rRNA from 1 species
GACGAACGCUGGCGGCGUGCCUAACACAUGCAAGUUGAGCGACGAACCAGGGCUUGCCCUGGGGCAAAGCAGCGAACGGGUGAGUAACACGUGGGUAACCUGCCCCGAUAACCGGGACAACCCGAGGAAACUCGGGCUAAUACCGGAUGUGCUCGCCGGACACCAGUCCGGCGCGUAAAGGAAGCUUCGGCCUCCGUAUCGGGAGGGGCCCGCGGCCCAUUAGCUAGUUGGUGAGGUAACGGGUCACCAAGGCCGCGAUGGGUAGCUGGUCUGAGAGGACGGUCAGCCACACUGGGACUGAGACACGGCCCAGACUCCGACGGGAGGCAGCAGUGGGGAAUCUUGCGCAAUGCGCGAAAGCGUGACGCAGCAACGCCGCGUGGGGGAAGAAGGCCUUCGGGUCGUAAACCCCUUUCAGGAGGGACGAAGGUUCGGCGGUGAAUAGCCGUCCGGACUGACGGUACCUCCACAAGAAGCCCCGGCUAACUACGUGCCAGCCGCCGCCGUAA